AGAGAAGGCCGGAUGGUCGCCGGCCGCGGUGACGCGGCGGGAGGAAAGUCCGGGCUCCGCAGGGCAGGGUGCUGGGUAACACCCAGGGGGGGCGACCCCACGGACCAGUGCCACAGAAAAGAGACCGCCGCUUCUUCGGACUCUCGAGAGCGGAGGAGCGGUAAGGGUGAAACGGUGAGGUAAGAGCUCACCAGCGGCGCGGGUGAC
rnacentral:RNase_P_RNA from 1 species